rnacentral:lncRNA from 1 species
CCUGGCUCCACCUCUGCCUCCCAUCAGGGGUGAAUAAGGCGGAAGCUGAGGGGACAGUCACAGCCAGGACAGGAAUGUCACCCCCAGCUGGCAGACAGCACUCUGAGCAGCCAGGCCUGGGAUCCUCUGACCUGCCCACUUCAGGAGGCCAGUGUGGUCACUGCCACCCCACGGUCUGGGGACCCUGGACUCCAAACUUGCAGAAUGAAUCUUUGGUGAUGAAAGUGAGAAUCUGGGAGAGAUGUGAAAACUGGAAGAGAAACAGGAAGUACCUCCAGGAUUCACCUAAAUAGAUGCUGCGGUUUCUAUCAAACCACAGGCCACCCCAGCAUCUCAGUGGCUUCUAUAGGUUGUCCUGAAAGAGCCAUGAGGCCAGGGCCCUUGAUGGAUUCCCAGAUACCAGCUGCUCCUCCAGACACCAAUUCCACCCUCCACCUUUCUGUGUCCGUCCCAGACCAAGGCAGCCCAGGAAACUCUCUAGGAGGUGUGUCUCCAGGAUAGAGGGCCAGUGGAGAAUGGCAGCCCACACUGUUAUGGGAUGAAGUGUGUCCCCCAAAAUCAACAUGUUGAAGCUCUAACCCCCAGAACCCCGGAAUAAAACUAUAUUUGGAGUUAAGAUCUUUAAAGAGGUAAUUAUGUCCUAAUGAGUUAUUUAGGGCAGACCCUAAUCCAAUAGGACUGGUAUCCUUCUAAGAAGAGGAAGGCACAUCAGAGGAGAGGCCAUGUGAGGACACCAUGGGAAGGCGGCCACCUGCAAGCCAAGGAGAGGGGCCUCAGGAGAAACCAGCCCUGCUGACACCCUGAGCUCCUUGCAAUUCCAGCCUCCUAGACUGUGUUAUAACAGCAGGAAGAAAACUCCCCAAAGGAAAAGUGUGCUAUCA